UGAGGAAUAUUGCACAAUGGGGGCAACCCUGAUGCAGCAACGCCGCGUGGAGGAUGAAGGCUUUUGAGUUGUAAACUCCUUUUCUGAGGGAAGAGCAAGGACGGUACCUCAGGAAUAAGGCCCGGCUAACUACGUGCCAGCAGCCGCGGUAAUACGUAGGGGUCAAGCGUUAUCCGGAAUUACUGGGCGUAAAGCGCGCGCAGGCGGCUUGUCAAGUCCGAUGUGAAAGCUCCCGGCUUAACUGGGAGAGGUCGUUGGAUACUGGUAGGCUUGAGGCAGUGAGAGGGAUGCAGAAUUCCUGGUGUAGUGGUGGAAUGCGUAGAUAUCAGGAGGAAUACCAGUGGCGAAAGCGGCAUCCUGGCACUGUUCUGACGCUCAUGUGCGAAAGCGUGGGGAGCGAACGGGAUUAGAUACCCGUGUAGUCC
rnacentral:rRNA from 1 species